AGGGGAAUGUCAUACUCUUAGAUCAAAGACUUUGGAAAUUAAAAUCUUUGUCAACUCUUGCUGGCAUAUUGCUUAUUAGAGGGACCAUGGGCUAUCAUUUUCUCUUUUUUUAAGUGGAUACCGAGGUACCCCUAAUUCUACUGCCGGACACUUGUCCAUUUUUUUCUGUGAGGUUGUCGAGCACUUGCUCCUUUUUAUUUCCUUGAAAUAUCUUUAUUUUUGCAUAGCCCAUGCCUCUAAUGCAAUAAUACUUUGGAAGAGUGAAUCUUUCUGAAUAAAUGUCUUGAUCUUAGGAGCAUGAUAAAUCUCUCAACAAGGGUCUAACUCAUUUUGAACAAACUCAAUAUAGAGUAGAUAGCUUUUAUAAUCAUAAUUAAUAUUUUUAGUUUUAUCAGGUAUAUAAAACACUGAGG
rnacentral:lncRNA from 1 species